rnacentral:rRNA from 1 species
CUGAGUUUGAUCCUGGCUCAGAACGAACGCUGGCGGCAGGCUUAACACAUGCAAGUCGAGCGCCCCGCAAGGGGAGCGGCAGACGGGUGAGUAACACGUGGGAACGUACCCUUUACUACGGAAUAACGCAGGGAAACUUGUGCUAAUACCGUAUGUGCCCUUCGGGGGAAAGAUUUAUCGGUAAGGGAUCGGCCCGCGUUGGAUUAGCUAGUUGGUGGGGUAAAGGCCUACCAAGGCGACGAUCCAUAGCUGGUCUGAGAGGAUGAUCAGCCACAUUGGGACUGAGACACGGCCCAAACUCCUACGGGAGGCAGCAGUGGGGAAUAUUGGACAAUGGGCGCAAGCCUGAUCCAGCCAUGCCGCGUGAGUGAUGAAGGCCCUAGGGUUGUAAAGCUCUUUCACCGGAGAAGAUAAUGACGGUAUCCGGAGAAGAAGCCCCGGCUAACU